rnacentral:sRNA from 1 species
AUCAGACGGCAGCAACCAAAUGUCGAAAGAUAGCAAAAGAAUCAGU